rnacentral:ncRNA from 2 species
AGGGGUCUUCAGGGCAGGGUGUAAUUCCCUACCGGCGGUGACUAGGUUGUCUUCCUAGAAGUCCGCGAGCGCAAGCUGAUGUGGUGCAAAUCCACAACCGACAGUGAUAGUCUGGAUGGGAGGAGACGAAG